rnacentral:tRNA from 1 species
GGACAGAUAGCUCAGUUGGUAGAGCAACGGACUCUUAAUCCGUGGGUCCAGGGUUCGAGCCCCUGUCUGUCCA